UACGUAGGUGACAAGCGUUGUCCGGAUUUACUGGGCGUAAAGAGCGCGCAGGCGGUCGAUCAAGUCGAGUGUGAAAGCCCCCGGCUCAACUGGGGAGGGUCAUUCGAUACUGAUCGACUCGAAGGCAGGAGAGGGUAGUGGAAUUCCCGGUGUAGUGGUGAAAUGCGUAGAUAUCGGGAGGAACACCUGAGGCGAAGGCGGGCUACUGGGCCGAUACUGACGCUGAUGUGCGAAAGCCAGGGGAGCGAACGGG
rnacentral:rRNA from 1 species